GGUGUUCUAAGAACGACUUUCCUCGACGGCGUCUGUUUUAAUAAUUUGCCCAUUGUCUUGACUUAUUCAAGACCAGAUUGUUUAGGCAGAAAGCCUUGGGUUGACAGGGAAGUAUUUGGGAGAAAUGUUCGGAGCCAUUUGACAAUCAACUGCUUUAGGCCACUAUUUGUUGUAUAUUAGUUUCUCAUCCCCGCCCGCAUGCUUUUUAAGAAAAUGAUCAUGUUCGCCAUUAUUGCCAUUUUUGACCAUUAUUAUAAAUUUUGUGAUGUCUUCAAAAUGAUAUUUGAAAGAAAGACAAUUAGAAACGUUCCCAAACCGAACGUUUUAGUUAAGAUACGAAAUUUCAUACCAAAACUGCCAGUUUCUCUCGCAUUUACGUAAACGUUCUACCGGAUCAAGCCAGGGGCCCAGGGAAAAAAACGCGAGACGACUUGGCUACAAAAUUAUUUCUCUACUCUGUACGAAUUAUUUCACAUGUGGUCAUGUGGAGCGGCCAUGUUUUUAAUAUGAAAACAUGGUUUCAGUUGCACUCACUAAUUUUGUGCUGUUUUCCAAUGCUAUAAAUGGUAAAUGCGCACUUUUCCAAAGUAAAUUUACGGAGAGGGGAAAUCCGGCAAAUAAUGGCAUAAUGGUAAUGGCCCGCCCGCCCGCAUCAACUUUAGGUGAAGCUCCGGAUGAGAAACUAAUAUGCAACAAAUAGUGGCCUUAUACUAGCUGAUUCACUGCCUGUGUCUCAACGAACGUCUCGCUGGGCUAACCUUAAGUUGUUCAACGUUUGAAACCGCAAG